rnacentral:misc_RNA from 1 species
GAUGAAGAACGUAGCGAAAUGCGAUAAGUAAUGUGAAUUGCAGAAUUCAGUGAAUCAUCGAAUCUUUGAACGCACAUUGCGCCCCCUGGUAUUCCGGGGGGCAUGCCUGUUCGAGCGUCAUUUCACCACUCAAGCCUGGCUUGGUAUUGGGCAACGCGGUCCGCCGCGUGCCUCAAAUCGACCGGCUGGGUCUUCUGUCCCCUAAGCGUUGUGGAAACUAUUCGCUAAAGGGUGUUCGGGAGGCUACGCCGUAAAACAACCCCAUUUCUAAGGUUGACCUCGGAUCAGGUAGGGAUACCCGCUGAACUUAAGCAUAUCAAUAAGCGGAGGA